ensembl:snRNA U1 U1 spliceosomal RNA
AUACUUACCUGGCAGGGGAGAUACCAUGAUCACGAAGGUGGUUUUCCCAGGGCGAGGCUCAUCCAUUGCACUCUGGAUGUGCUGACCCCUGCGAUUUCCCUAAAUGUGGGAAACUCGACUGCAUAAUUUGUGGUAGUGGGGGACUGCGUUCGCGCUUUCCCCUA